rnacentral:rRNA from 1 species
GUGUGUAAUCAACCAGCUCAACUGGUUGAAUUCUGCGAGCACGGCCAGACUUGGGACCGGGAGAGGUGUGGGGUACGCUCAGGGUAGGGGUAAAAUCCUGUCAUCCUGAGCGGACCACCUGUUGCGAAGGCGCCACACUAGAACGGAUCCGACGGUCAGGGACGAAGCCUAGGGGCACGAACCGGAUUAGAUACCCGGGUAGUCCUAGGUGUAAACGCUGUGGACUUGGUGUUGGGGACUCUCCGAGAUUCCUCAGUGCCGAAGCGAAGGUGAUAAGUCCACUGCCUGGGGAGUACGGUCGCAAGGCUGAAACUUAAAGGAAUUGGCGGGGGAGCACCGCAACCUGAGGAUUGUGCGGUUUAAUUGGAUUCAACGCCGGAAAACUCACCAGUGCCGACGGACAAAUGAAAGCCAGUGUAAUGAGCUUGCUGGAUUGUUCGAGAGGUAGUGCAUGGCCGCCGUCAGUUCGUACCGUAAGGCGUUCUGUUAAGUCAGAUAACGAACGAGACCCUCAUCCCUAUUUGCUAAGGUCAGUCCGCUGAUCACAGGACUAUAGGGAGACCGCUGGCGCGAAGUCAGAGGAAGGCGAGGGCAACGGUAGGUCAGUAUGCUCCGAAUGCACUGGGCUACACGCGCAAUACAAAGGACGGGACAAUGGGCCGCUGCGCCGAGAGGCAUGUGGCUAUCCCGAAACCCGUUCGUAGUUCGGAUUAAGGGCUGUAACUCGCCCUCAUGAAGCUGGAUUACGUAGUAAUCGCGUCUCAAAAAGGCGCGGUGAAUAUGUCCCUGCUCCUUGCAC